GACGAACGCUGGCGGCGUGCUUAACACAUGCAAGUCGGACGGAAAGGCCCUGCUUUUGUGGGGUGCUCGAGUGGCGAACGGGUGAGUAACACGUGAGUAACCUGCCCUUGACUUUGGGAUAACUUCAGGAAACUGGGGCUAAUACCGGAUAGGAGCUCCUGCUGCAUGGUGGGGGUUGGAAAGUUUCGGCGGUUGGGGAUGGACUCGCGGCUUAUCAGCUUGUUGGUGGGGUAGUGGCUUACCAAGGCUUUGACGGGUAGCCGGCCUGAGAGGGUGACCGGCCACAUUGGGACUGAGAUACGGCCCAGACUCCUACGGGAGGCAGCAGUGGGGAAUAUUGCACAAUGGGCGGAAGCCUGAUGCAGCAACGCCGCGUGCGGGAUGACGGCCUUCGGGCUGUAAACCGCUUUCGCCUGUGACGAAGCGUGAGUGACGGUAAUGGGUAAAGAAGCACCGGCUAACUACGUG
rnacentral:rRNA from 1 species